GACGGAAGGUGCAAGCGUUGCUCGGAAUCACUGGGCGUAAAGGGUGCGUAGGCGGCUUGGUGGGUCUGGUGUGAAAGCCCCGGGCUCAGCCCGGGGAAGGGCACUAGAAAACUGCCGAGCUGGAGUGCCGGAGGGGAGAGUGGAAUUCCUGGUGUAGCGGUGAAAUGCGUAGAUAUCAGGAGGAACACCUGCGGUGUAGACGGCUUACUGGACGGUAACUGACGCUGAGGCACGAAAGCGUGGGUAGCAAACAGG
rnacentral:rRNA from 1 species